rnacentral:rRNA from 1 species
AGCGAACGCUGGCGGCAGGCCUAACACAUGCAAGUCGAGCGCCCCGCAAGGGGAGCGGCAGACGGGAGAGUAACACGUGGGAACAUGCCCUUCAGUUCGGAACAACCCAGGGAAACUUGGGCUAAUACCGGAUACGUCCGUAAGGAGAAAGAUUUAUCGCUGAAGGAUUGGCCCGCGUCCGAUUAGCUAGUUGGUGAGGUAAUGGCUCACCAAGGCGACGAUCGGUAGCGGUCUGAGAGGAUGAUCAGCCUCACUGGGACUGAGACACGGCCCAGACUCCUACGGGAGGGCAGCAGUGGGGAAUAUUGGACAAUGGGCGCAAGCCUGAUCCAGCCAUGCCGCGUGGGUGAUG